GUCUUCUUGGUUAUAUAGGAAGUCUGACCUGCCCGGUGAAUAAGUAUUUAACGGCCGCGGUAUUUUGACCGUGCAAAGGUAGCAUAAUCAUUAGUCUUUUAAUAGAGGGCUGGAAUGAAGGGUUUGACGAAAUGCUUACUGUCUCAUUUAAUUUGGAAUUUGAAAUUGACUUUUUAGUUAAAAGGCUAAAUUGUUAUUGGAAGACGAGAAGACCCUAUAGAGCUUUAUAUUUUAAAAUUUAAGAAGUUUUUGAAUAAUUAUUAUUUUUUAAAUGGGAAAAUAUUUUGUUGGGGUGACAAAAAUAUAUAACAAACUUUUUUAUAAAAAUAACAUUGAUAUAUGAUUAUUAGAUCCAUUAUUAUUGAUUGUUAGAGAAAGUUACCUUAGGGAUAACAGCGUAAUCUUCCUCCAGAGUUCAAAUUUACAGGAAGGCUUGCGACCUCGAUGUUGGAUUAAGAUAAUAAUUAGGUGCAGCUGCUUAAUUAAUAGGUCUGUUCGACCUUUAAUUUCUU
rnacentral:rRNA from 1 species